rnacentral:rRNA from 1 species
GACGGAGGAUGCAAGCGUUGUCCGGAAUUACUGGGCGUAAAGAGUUCGUAGGCGGUUUGUCGCGUCGUUUGUGAAAACCAGCAGCUCAACUGCUGGCUUGCAGGCGAUACGGGCAGACUUGAGUACUGCAGGGGAGACUGGAAUUCCUGGUGUAGCGGUGAAAUGCGCAGAUAUCAGGAGGAACACCGGUGGCGAAGGCGGGUCUCUGGGCAGUAACUGACGCUGAGGAACGAAAGCGUGGGGAGCGAACAGG